GACGAACGCUGGCGGCGUGCUUAACACAUGCAAGUCGAACGAAGUGGCGAACGGGUGAGUAACGCGUAAUCAACCUGCCCUUCAGAGGGGGACAACAGUUGGAAACGACUGCUAAUACCGCAUACUGAAGGAGGGGAUUGCGUCUGAUUCGCUCGUUGGAGGGGUAACGGCCCACCAAGGCGAUGAUCAGUAGCCGGUCUGUGAGGAUGGACGGCCAAAAUGGGACUGAGACACGGCCCAAACUCCUACGGGGGGCAGCAGGGGGGAAUCUUUCGCAAUGGGCGAAAGUCUGACGGAGCAACGCCGCGUGAGUGAUGACGGCCUUCGGGUUGUAAAGCUCUGUUAAUCGGGACGCGGUACCGGAAUAGAAAGCCACGGCUAACUACGUGCCAGCCGCCGCGGUAAUUC
rnacentral:rRNA from 1 species